GCACUGCCUUCGAAGCUCUGCAGUGUCCGUACUAUGGCCUGAAGGGUCAGGUGGCAGUGCCAGAGCAGACACAGCUUGUUGAAGUGCAGGCCUGCUGAGAUGGCACCUAAGUGACUCCUUUAGUGGCAAGUGACAUUC
rnacentral:snoRNA from 1 species